rnacentral:rRNA from 1 species
AGUGAACGCUGGCGGUAGGCCUAACACAUGCAAGUCGAACGGCAGCACAGUAAGAGCUUGCUCUUACGGGUGGCGAGUGGCGGACGGGUGAGGAAUACAUCGGAAUCUACUUUUUCGUGGGGGAUAGCGUAGGGAAACUUACGCUAAUACCGCAUACGACCUACGGGUGAAAGCAGGGGAUCUUCGGACCUUGCGCGAUUGAAUGAGCCGAUGUCGGAUUAGCUAGUUGGCGGGGUAAAGGCCCACCAAGGCGACGAUCCGUAGCUGGUCUGAGAGGAUGAUCAGCCACACUGGAACUGAGACACGGUCCAGACUCCUACGGGAGGCAGCAGUGGGGAAUAUUGGACAAUGGGCGCAAGACUGAUCCAGCCAUACCGCGUGGGUGAAGAAGGCCUUCGGGUUGUAAAGCCCUUUUGUUGGGAAAGAAAAGCAGCAGGUUAAUACCCCGCUGUUCUGACGGUACCCAAAGAAUAAGCACCGGCUAACUUCGUG